CCAGAGAACUUUCCAGAGAUGGGAUUGGUGCCCUUCGGGAACUCUGAGACAGGUGCUGCAUGGCUGUCGUCAGCUCGUGUUGUGAAAUGUUGGGUUAAGUCCCGCAACGAGCGCAACCCUUAUCCUUUGUUGCCAGCGGUCCGGCCGGGAACUCAAAGGAGACUGCCAGUGAUAAACUGGAGGAAGGUGGGGAUGACGUCAAGUCAUCAUGGCCCUUACGAGUAGGGCUACACACGUGCUACAAUGGCGCAUACAAAGAGAAGCGACCUCGCGAGAGCAAGCGGACCUCAUAAAGUGCGUCGUAGUCCGGAUUGGAGUCUGCAACUCGACUCCAUGAAGUCGGAAUCGCUAGUAAUCGUGGAUCAGAAUGCCACGGUGAAUACGUUCCCGGGCCUUGUACACACCGCCCGUCACACCAUGGGAGUGGGUUGCAAAAGAAGUAGGUAGCUUAACCUUCGGGAGGGCGCUUACCACUUUGUGAUUCAUGACUGGGGUGAAGUCGUAACAAGGUAGGCGUAGAUGA
rnacentral:rRNA from 1 species